rnacentral:rRNA from 1 species
ACGUGGGUAACCUGCCUGUAAGACUGGGAUAACUCCGGGAAACCGGGGCUAAUACCGGAUAACUCAGUUCCUCGCAUGAGGAACGGUUGAAAGGUGGCUUUUAGCUACCACUUACAGAUGGACCCGCGGCGCAUUAGCUAGUUGGUGAGGUAACGGCUCACCAAGGCGACGAUGCGUAGCCGACCUGAGAGGGUGAUCGGCCACACUGGGACUGAGACACGGCCCAGACUCCUACGGGAGGCAGCAGUAGGGAAUCUUCCGCAAUGGACGAAAGUCUGACGGAGCAACGCCGCGUGAGUGAAGAAGGUUUUCGGAUCGUAAAACUCUGUUGUUAGGGAAGAACAAGUGCCGUUCGAAUAGGGCGGCACCUUGACGGUACCUAACCAGAAAGCCACGGCUA